AUUCCACCCAGCGGGUGUAGUAAUCCACUAAUACUAGUCUGACAUUUCAAACAGGAUCGGAUGAAGUUUUUGACGUCGUCCCACAUUUUUGGCCAGAAAACUACGUCAUGGAGACGUUUGUAUGUUUUAAACAUGCCUUGAUGGCCACACAACGGAGAAUUGUGAUAUGCCUGUAGAAUGGUGGUUAUGAGUGGUUUUGGCACCCAAAGACGGUAAUUGUAUUUAUUGUCAGCUAGGUGAGAUUUCCUAUAAACCAUAUCUUCAAUCACAGAAUAUUUGGAUUCUGAGACUUUACAACCCUCAGCUAAGGCUUUGAUGAUGCUGGAUAUUUCAGGAUCUUUCUGUUGUUCCUCCCACAGUGUGGUCAUGGAAAAGGGAAAGUCUUCUGUAUCCUUCUGACUGGAAGUCAUCAUACAGGCAGGGCCAAGUGGAAUCCUAGACAGAGCAUCCGGUGCCACAUUGAGUUUGCCUUUCCGGUAUUCAAUUACAAAAUUGAAUUUUUGGAGUCGAAGUGCCCAUCUUAUAAGACGACUAGAUGUUUUAGUGCUGUUCAUUACCCACUGUAAGGAGGCAUGGGUACGGCUUGCAUAAGCGAUCACCUCCUCGUGACCGACUCCCUUCUUUUGGGCCAGGAUUGCACCCAAUCCCACGUCACUGGCGUCUGUAUAUACAAGGAAAGGAAAAUCCAGGUCAGGAUGUCCCAGAAUGGGAGGAGAGAACCUUUGGAGGCAGAAGUCACAGACAUUUUUCCACCAUGCGGUUCCAGCUUUGGAGAUCUUUGCAUGUUUUUGGAAGAUGGGCCCGAUGACUGAUGAUCUCCAGCAGGGGAAUGGUACUGGGGACAUGAACCAGGUCUUUCUCUAGCUGGUGACCAAGCCUCACAAGCUCGUCCACGGAAUUGACUCGUCCACGGAGAUGACUUGCAAGCUGCGGCCUAACAUUCUUCAGGAUCAUUUUCACUAUCUCCAAAUCAGCAAUG